rnacentral:rRNA from 1 species
AACGAACGCUGGCGGCAUGCCUAACACAUGCAAGUCGAACGAGACCUUCGGGUCUAGUGGAGCACGGGUGCGUAACGCGUAGGAACAUGCCCUUAGGUUCGGAAUAACUCCCCGAAAGGGGUGCUAAUACCGGAUAAUGUCUUCGGACCAAAGAUUUAUCGACUUUGGAUGGGCCCGCGUUGGAUUAGCUAGUUGGUAGGGUAAAAGCCUACCAAGGCGACGAGCCAUAGCUGGUCUGAGAGGAUGAUCAGCCACACUGGGACUGAGACACGGCCCAGACGCCUACGAGAGGCAGCAGUGGGGAAUAUUGGACAAGGGGCGAAAGCCUGAUCCAGCAAUGCCGCGUGAGUGAUGAAGGCCUUAGGGUUGUAAAGCUCUUUUACCCGGGAUGAUAAGGACAGAACCGGAGGAAUAAGCUCCGGUUAACUCCGU